UGCGGAGGGAUCAUUACCGAGUUAUCCAACUCCCAACCCCUGUGAAUUAUACCUUUAAUUGUUGCUUCGGCGGGACUUCGCGCCCGCCGGGGACCCAAACCUUUUGAAUUUUUUAAUAAGUAUUUUUUGAGUGGUUUAAAAAAAAAAUGAAUCAAAACUUUCAACAACGGAUCUCUUGGUUCUGGCAUCGAUGAAGAACGCAGCGAAAUGCGAUAAGUAAUGUGAAUUGCAGAAUUCAGUGAAUCAUCGAAUCUUUGAACGCACAUUGCGCCCGUCAGUAUUCUGGCGGGCAUGCCUGUUCGAGCGUCAUUACGCCCCUCAAGUCCCCUGUGGACUUGGUGUUGGGGAUCGGCGAGGCUGGUUUUCCAGCACAGCCGUCCCUUAAAUUAAUUGGCGGUCUCGCCGUGGCCCUCCUCUGCGCAGUAGUAAAGCACUCGCAACAGGAGCCCGGCGCGGUCCACUGCCGUAAAACCCCCCAACUUUUUAUAGUUGACCUCGAAUCAGGUAGGACUACCCGCUGAACUUGGGUCCUUAUUAAUAAGCGGAGGA
rnacentral:rRNA from 1 species